CGCGGCCUAUCAGCUUGUUGGUGAGGUAACGGCUCACCAAGGCGACGACGGGUAACCGGCCUGAGAGGGUGACCGGUCACACUGGGACUGAGACACGGCCCAGACUCCUACGGGAGGCAGCAGUGGGGAAUAUUGCACAAUGGGCGCAAGCCUGAUGCAGCAACGCCGCGUGAGGGAUGACGGCCUUCGGGUUGUAAACCUCUUUUAGCAGGGAAGAAGCGAAAGUGACGGUACCUGCAGAAAAAGCACCGGCUAACUACGUGCCAGCAGCCGCGGUAAUACGUAGGGACCGAGCGUUGUCCGGAAUUAUUGGGCGUAAAGAGCUCGUAGGCGGUUCAGUAAGUCGGGUGUGAAAACUCAAGGCUCAACCUUGAGACGCCACUCGAUACUGCUGUGACUUGAGUCCGGUAGAGGAGUGUGGAAUUCCUGGUGUAGCGGUGAAAUGCGCAGAUAUCAGGAGGAACACCAGCGGCGAAGGCGGCACUCUGGGCCGGUACUGACGCUGAGGAGCGAAAGCAUGGGGAGCAAACAGGAUUAGAUACCCUGGUAGUCCAUGCCGUAAACGUUGGGCACUAGGUAUGGGAUCAUAUCAACGGAUUCCGUGCCGUAGCUAACGCAUUAAGUGCCCCGCCUGGGGAGUACGG
rnacentral:rRNA from 1 species